UCACCUAGGCGACGAUCCCUAGCUGGUCUGAGAGGAUGACCAGCCACACUGGAACUGAGACACGGUCCAGACUCCUACGGGAGGCAGCAGUGGGGAAUAUUGCACAAUGGGCGCAAGCCUGAUGCAGCCAUGCCGCGUGUGUGAAGAAGGCCUUCGGGUUGUAAAGCACUUUCAGCGGGGAGGAAGGCGGUGAGGUUAAUAACCUCAUCGAUUGACGUUACCCGCAGAAGAAGCACCGGCUAACUCCGUGCCAGCAGCCGCGGUAAUACGGAGGGUGCAAGCGUUAAUCGGAAUUACUGGGCGUAAAGCGCACGCAGGCGGUCUGUCAAGUCGGAUGUGAAAUCCCCGGGCUCAACCUGGGAACUGCAUUCGAAACUGGCAGGCUAGAGUCUUGUAGAGGGGGGUAGAAUUCUAGGUGUAGCGGUGAAAUGCGUAGAGAUCUGGAGGAAUACCGGUGGCGAAGGCGGCCCCCUGGACAAAGACUGACGCUCAGGUGCGAAAGCGUGGGGAGCAAACAGGAUUAGAUACCCUGGUAGUCCACGCCGUAAACGAUGUCGAUUUGGAGGUUGUGCCCUUGAGGCGUGGCUUCCGGAGCUAACGCGUUAAAUCGACCGCCUGGGGAGUACGGCCGCAAGGUUAAAACUCAAAUGAAUUGACGGGGGCCCGCACAAGCGGUGGAGCAUGUGGUUUAAUUCGAUGCAACGCGAAGAACCUUACCUGGUCUUGACAUCCACAGAACUUUCCAGAGAUGGAUUGGUGCCUUCGGGAACUGUGAGACAGGUGCUGCAUGGCUGUCGUCAGCUCGUGUUGUGAAAUGUUGGGUUAAGUCCCGCAACGAGCGCAACCCUUAUCCUUUGUUGCCAGCGGUCCGGCCGGGAACUCAACGGAGACUGCCAGUGAUAAACUGGAGGAAGGUGGGGAUGACGUCAAGUCAUCAUGGCCCUUACGACCAGGGCUACACACGUGCUACAAUGGCAUAUACAAAGAGAAGCGACCUCGCGAGAGCAAGCGGACCUCAUAAAGUAUGUCGUAGUCCGGAUUGGAGUCUGCAACUCGACUCCAUGAAGUCGGAAUCGCUAGUAAUCGUAGAUCAGAAUGCUACGGUGAAUACGUUCCCGGGCCUUGUACACACCGCCCGUCACACCAUGGGAGUGGGUUGCAAAAGAAGUAGGUAGCUUAACCUUCGGGAGGGCGCUUACCACUUUGUGAUUCAUGACUGGGGUGAAGUCGUAACAAGGUAACCGUAGGGGAACCUGCGGUUGGAUCACCUCCUUACCUUAAAGAA
rnacentral:rRNA from 1 species